AGGGAAACUCUUGCCUUAACCUUAUUUACUUGAAAUUUUAAAAAUUUACCUCAAGGUGAUCCUUAUCCUAGAGCUGAAAAGCAGUUUACCUCUCCAGUUCCAUCUCAAGACCAUACUCCCAUAUGGUUUAAAGAAUUUGAUCAGUGGAAACCAGGACUAAUGACUGGUUGUGGGAAAGGGUAUGCUUCUAUCGUUCCAGAUGGAUCUACCGGCAACAUAUGGGAUCCUCUGUGGCCCAUCCGACCCUGGAAGGAUGAGAACAGUACAACCUAAACCUGAGGAAGAAGAAUUAAAACGGCACCUUGCAGGCCUAAAUGUGAAAACCCAAUGACGCUAUCGUCCCUAUCACAAGAAAACUAGUCAGACGCUGCCAACAUGGGGUCAGAUUAAGAUGUUGUCAGACAAGGGAGCAGUUGUUCUGAUCAGUACUGAAAGCCCUAGAACACCCGCACAUCUGUUUUUGGCCAUGGUUGUGCUGCUCGCCUGUACUUCCAUGGAUACCACAAAAUAGCCAAGAUGUCCCUUCCACAAAGGAAUUUUGUGCUUGCUCUACUACACUUAAAAAA